CGUGACGCCCUCCUGGAGCACCGCGACAACCCCGAUGUCGCCUACAGCCUGUGGCACGAGUACGAACUGUGAGCGGCUGCGCCAAGGGAGCAGAGAAACAAUUCCCGACACCCCCAGACCCUUUUGCAGGGACCCCGGGUGGAUUAAAGCUGGUGUGAGCGAAGGAAGGGGUGCCGUGUGCUGUCUGGGGGGCACGGGGUGGGGUGAAGCCCUUGGGGUGCAGGGGGAGGGCAGGGAGUUGCAUUCCCCCCAAAAAAAAGCCAGGUGGGGUGUCCAUCUCACAGUUUGAUGUCACUUAGCUGGGACUCAGGGAGAAAAAUGUGUUCUUGGGUGGAGAAAGGGAGGUGGGAUUUUUUCCCCCAGGAAUGGGGUGAAAAAAUGAAGAAUGAGGUAUAAAAUCAGCUGAAAGUGAGCUCAGGUGGCUGACGAUGGUGGGGAUGUCCUGCAGCGAGGUGGGAAGAGUGUCCUGUGGGAUUCAUAUGUUUAAUAGCCCAAAUCAGCAGCUUUGCUGUGUGCAGAAUCAAAAAUAACAGGAUGUGUCUGUUAAUUAUUCAGGUUAUCAAUGACUUAAUUCACCAGCUCUUUCUGUUGUUUCAUCAAUAAAAUAAAUUGUUUCUCUCUGUG